GGGAGAACUGGCCCCUAGUGGGAGUUGGGCGCGUCCCUGGAACCUCCCCUCCUCGAGGGCUGGGAGUUAGCGGGAAGAAGAAGAGGCCGCGGGCACCAUGAUUCAGACCCGGAAACUACGCCUCCAGGCAUGGCUAGGAGAAAUGGGCUUCGGAGACCAUGGCCACCCCUCUCCCUGCCUAGGAGCACGCCUGCCCCAGCACCCGGGCCUGAACGCAGCGAGAGCUCCAGAGCCUGCGAGUCCCAGAGUUCCAGUUCCACAUCACAGUCACGCAAAUGUAAGAGAAUGGAGAAUGCAGUCCUUUCUCAGCUGGGCACAAAGUAAUGCUGAGUGAAACAGAAGUUGUUAUUGUGGAAGAGCUUCCAGUCGAUUUUGAAAAAUUCAGAGCAUGGGCAAGACAUAGCAGAAAAAGAAAUUGUGAUUGAUUGGAGUAUUUAUUUUCCUGGCUUCCUCCAUGUGGAGUUGCUAAAGACCGGCUGCAUCUUUCAGCUGCAAUCACAGCUCCUGCCUGGCAGCCUUCUCGGUCUCCAGGUUGUAGGAACCUCUUUGUCUUAUCUUUCAGGCCUGUGGGUGGCAAUAAUGUUCUUUAUUAGUACUAGCCUUAAGAUUUCACCAAUUAUUCCAGCUGUUUACUGGAAACCACAAAAAGCACACUGACUGACAUCGCCACUACGUGUCUUUCUUUUAGGGGCAUAAUAAAGUAGGAAACACAUUUAUUGUCCUCCAGAGAGGGCCUCCAAGUCAACUCUGCAUGUCUGACUUGCCCCAACCAUUUUAUGGAGUGCACUGAAGUGUUUUAAGGUCCUGCUUCCCUUCCAGAACAGCACCUUCCUUAGAGUGACUUCUUAGUGCUCCUCAGGCUCAAAGCCAGACCAUGAAGAUGUCAUAUUUUCCCUAAAACUGAAAGCUCCUUGAAUCAAGGGAACAUGGAUAUUUGACUCAACUGCUCUAGUCUUGUAGCAGACAAGACGCUGCUUCCAGCUACAGAUCUUGAGAAGGCUGCCUCGCACCUAUUUAAAAUAACAUGAAAAUCAGUAGCUCACAUUGCAAAGCCGAAAGAAGGAAAUCCUCCAACUUCAGUCACUUCAGCUGUUCAACCAAAUCCUUAAUACAUAGGGCUCUUUUCAUCUCUCUGUUCAGCUGUCCACUAGAACAGCAGUCCCCAACCAUUUGGCACCAGGGACUGGUUUCAUGGAAGAUAAUUUUUCCAUAGACUGGGGCAGGUUGGGGGGAUGGGUUCAGGAUGAUUCAAGUAAAUUACAUUUAUUGCGCACUUUA
rnacentral:lncRNA from 1 species